rnacentral:lncRNA from 1 species
AUGGCCCUGCUGGGCAGCCUGGCUCCACUACGCUCCCAGUUCUCGGUCUCAGCAGCUCCCAUCGACUUCGCACAGCAGCCCCUUCGCGUCUCCCGGGGUGGCAAGGCACCAAGGUGCAGCCCGGGCCAGCACCGACCCUUUCCUCAGCAUCUUCUCCGCCGGCUCAGCUCUUCCUCCCGCCCGCCGACCCCGUGUCUCCCAAGUCUCGUCCCGGCGACCACCCAGACUUACCGCGGGCGCCACGCCGCCGCCGGGUCUGCGCGCUCCGAGGCGGAGCCAGGACUAGGACACCCGCCAGCGCCCGGCAGCCUCCCGCUCCCGCCGCCAGCUCGCUGCCCCCGCCGCGACCCCGCCCACUGCGGGCCCCUCCGCCCGCCCUCGCGGCCUGGAGGUCGGGACUUACCUCCGGGACAAGGUGACCCGGCAAGUGCGCCCAAGCGGCCGCCCGCGGGUCUAUCCAGCGAGCGAGCAUGCGGGGCGGUGCGGCGCCCGCCUCUGCUCCUCCGCUCCCAGGCUCUCUCCUCCUCUGCCCUCCCUUCUGCGCCGCUCCGCUCCCCCCGCCGCUCCCCGCCCUGCGCUAGCCGCCAGCGCCCCCGGCUGCCCCGAGCGCCGGGCGCGGGGCAGCGGCUGCAGCCCGAGCGGCUGGGAGUCGGGAGCUGCGGCGCCGGGGCGGAGCUCAGUCCUCUCGGGAGAGGAAGGGGUGCUGGGAGACUAUCGUCGCACGCGCCUGGCCGGCAGGCUGGGCUAGGGGCGCCCUGGGGCCAGCCGCUCAGCUUAGCUUGCGGAGCCUGGCAACGCGCGUGCUGGAGGAGGCGGGCGCGGGCUCCGGGGGAGGAGGGCAGGGAAGAGGAGGAAGGCGCAGCCCGCGCGAAGGUGGCCACCAACUUUGCCCCAGGCCAGGGAGGCCCUAGCGGGGGAUCCCGUCCAGAGGGUGGCCCGGGGCCGGUGUCUGACAAUGAGGGCCACAGAGGCUGGGGGCGGUGGAUAACUGCGGGGGACUAG